rnacentral:piRNA from 1 species
CCUUGAUGUCUGCUCUGGCCAUGCUU